rnacentral:lncRNA from 12 species
GGAAGGUCUGCAGCUGAGUUGAGUAAAUGCUGAUGAAGAAAAGUCAACAACAACCUGGGUAGGCCAGAAACAGCAGGGGGAAAUAGACUCUGCUUCUGGGUUUGGGGCUCUUCACAGGGAGAAGCUGGAUGAGACUCCCUGUACAAGAGGUGAAGGCUUAGGACCAGCGAAGCUUGGAUAAGGAGAUGCCAAAGGCAUCUGAAUUAUUGUGUUUUAGGAGGAGAGUUUGAUCUUUCUGGCCUUGUGAGCCCUUUCAGAGUUUGGGCAGACAGCUCAUGUGCAUGAUGUGUGUAGGACAUGUGCAGGGGGCUGGAUGUGCUCUCCCUGCACAAACCUGCAGUGCAGCAUGCAGGGUGUGGCUGUUGCUGCUGGAACCUCAGUUUGCUCUCUCUGUGAAUGCUGGGGAGUCUCCAGGGCAGAUGGGGUGAAGGUACCCAGGUCUGCAGUGGCCAGUAGUGUCCUGCCUGUGGGUUAUGAAAUGCUCACAGUACACCUGAGCAAGGCUUCUGAGAAAGAGAGGUGCUGCUUUUGUGGCAGAUGCCCUUGUUGGCUGGUGAUGAAGGAGCAUGCUGCCAGCACCAGGCUGCUGUGCCUGUCUCCAGCUGCUGACAGAGCCCCUAAUCUGCUGCCUCUGGUUCCUCUCAGCGCAUCUACCACACGCUGAUUAGAAGAGAGCUGUGCUGGAGAAACCAAUGUGUCAAGUAACCGUGCACACUGGCUACCACCAGGCACGAGGGAGAGCCACGGCAGCUUGUUCCUGAGCUUACCCUAAAUCCUUU